AUCGCUUCUCGGCCUUUUGGCUAAGAUCAAGUGUGGUAUCUGUUCUUAUCGGUUUAAUAUCUGAUACGUCCUCUAUCCGAUAUACUUAUGAGGUAUUCAUUCUUGACCACGUUGCCUAACGGAUAAGGCGUCUGACUUCAAUAUACUUAUGUAAAUUUACAUAUGCAUUAUUAUAAAGUACAUAUAUAUAAA